AUUUAUCGCUUGUAAUCUUCAGUUUCUGCUUUGGUUAAAAAUUUAACUUAUUCUGCCAUCUUUAGUGGUUAUAUAUUUUCUUUGUUGUUGCAUUGUUUGUUUGAUGUUUGGGAGCUGUUAGGAUAGGAUAUUAAUCGUUAAUUGAAUUUGAAAGGUGUCUGUUGUAGUUCGAAUGAUUAAGACUGAAUUUCCAGGACUUAGGACGUAUGUAAAAUCGAAUAUACAUAGGAUAUACAGUGGGUUAUCAAUAUAAGAAGAAGAUAUACAUUCGAUAUACAUCUAAUAUACACACCAUGGUGUGUAUAUCUUAGGUAUAUUGUUUAUAUGAUUAAAACAGACCAACACUGAAUCAUGUCUAUAAUUGUCCUUCAUCUGUAGGUUUAAAUUUUCUGUUUUGGUUAAUGCUAACAUAAAAACAGUAGCAGUGACAUUAUUACUGAUUAGUGGAGUGCGUAAUGUGACCAAAUCCAGUUCUGGUUUAGUCGAUUAGUUCGCUAUUUGGAUCUGACUAUGUGUUUAGUUCAUUAGGUGUGGGAUUAGUAUGUCCAUUAGUUAAUUUCCAGCCAAUAUAUGUCUGUCUGUUGCUUGAAUACUAGGCUUAGUAUUUAAAUACCUGUUACACGGUCUAAAUAGGAUUGAGAUACAACCUAUAAUAAAACUUAUGCAGGAGUUACAGCCUUGCUUUUUAAGUUAUCUGGAUUUAUCCGCAUGUUUGAUUAAUCUAGUAAUGUUAAUGAACUAAACACAACAUACACAACUAUUAAGUGUGGAUUUGUAUGUGUACAAGCUCAGAAAUAUGUGAAAAAGUAUGUUGUAUCUGUUUCUUCAUAAGCACUGUCCAUUUGGAGAUGUCUAGUCUGAGUUGAGUAAAUCUGAUUUUGCUUCGUUCGUUUAUACCCCCAUGCCUACUGUUUUGCUGGUUUGGAAAUGCCAUGUCCAUGAUUUUAUCUUCGUGUGUUCCUAAUGCAAAUGUUUAAAACAUGAAGAUGAUUCUGUUGUACUUGUUUAACUAUGACUGCUGCAUACCCAUGCUACUCUGUGCUAUUGUUUCCUUCUGACUUUUGCAUGACACUCCUGCUUCUUUUUGACUUCUUUUCUUGUGUGUUUUCUCCUCUCCUGCUUCUUAUCCUAGUUAAAACACUCUGUAUGCUUGUUCUGUGUAAUCACAUGGCCUCCAAGGCAUUUCGUCUUGCUUAGUAUUGUGACCUGCAUUCGAUCAUGCAUGCUAUGACUAGAACUUAACCCCUGUAUUGCCUGCAUGAGUGUGCUGAGCUCCUAACCAAGCUGCAGUGCUACUGUCAACUUUAAAUCCAUGAUAAGCCUGCUGCUGUGCCUCCUCAUACUUGAGAGUAUUCACCUUUGCAUCCUUACUGUGUGAAGUCAUAUUCUACUUAGCUUGCAUCAUGUUUUGAUCUGGUUGCCAAUCUGAUUUGCCUUUAGCCAUCCCUGAGAUGCCAUACCAUAAAAUACUAUCUUAUUGUGCUCAUCUACCUUGUCCAACUUGUUUGAUUUUGUGAUCAUGAUUGAUAUUUACACUCUUCUGAAAUAAGUUUUUUUUUAUGCCUUUUCUCAUCUUAGUAUGCACACUUGACAUAUCUACUUAAAGUUUAGUUAUACUUAGCUUAACUGAUUAGGAUUGACCUACUAUUUACUAGAUAUGGGAUCUUAUCUCCUUUUGAAUGAACUUGUCAUUGGGUCUCAAGGUGCAUCCUUACCCCUCAUGUUUAUAUUUUGACCACAUGUAUCUACUGCCUAUAUUUUCUUCUCACUGAUUGCUGCUAUUUGCUCCUACUGUAACUCUGACUCUACUUAUGGGAUGACUGUUGUUUUGGUUUGUUUCACUUAUCCUUGGCAACUGCCUGUUUUCUUCCCUUUUACCUAUAUAAGAUUUUUUUUUUUGGUUCAAAAGGUAUAGUUUUCAAGUCUACUGGCUGGUUCAAAAUACUCUAUCCUUUCCCUUUAUUUACUUUCCUUGCUUCAGCCUUCGUUUGAUUCUGUGAUUAUAUGUUAGUUUGAAUAGAACAGUUCGGAAUAUAUAGUUAAACAUAAUGGCUGCACGAAUCCUUUCUUUCUCUUUCAUAAAUGAUGAACCUGCCUGCAUACUUUGUUCAUAAAGGUCUUUUUUUUAAAAAACAGUUCUGCUGUGUUUAUUUAAGGCUGUAUACUAUGUGUAUUUGGGCCUGUUUCGUAUAUUACUCUCUUAUCCUAAAAACUGUUUGGGCAUUGUUCCUCUUUCUUGCAUAUGUCGCCGUCGUAUUUCGGGAAUUUGACUUAGAAAAAAAAAACAUUGGGUUCAGCUGCUGUUUGACAGUAGCAGCCCUCUAGGUUGAUCUGAAUUGGUUUAAAAUUAGAGCUUCAACCUGUGUAUAAGCUGUUGUUUUCAUAGUACCACUCUUGUUCGGGCUGUGUCGUUUUUAGCUAUUUUCUGUUACAUCCCGUAUUUUUGAACGUCGGAUUAAUUGUAAGUUGAGGUGGGGCCCACACGUCAAGAUUUUUUUGGGACAUGUGACAAAUUAUACGAAUCACAUAUGUGAAGUUAAACACAACUCAAGAAGGACCCUUGGGCCAAAUCAAAGUGGAAGUCCUCCAAACGAAUAUUUUUAAGAAAACGUUUUCGGGUGACCUGACUUUGGGGGGCCAAAACGGUAUUAUAUGUUUGGAAUUUGGAAAAAUACCAAGAAGUAAAAGUUGUAGAUAAUUGAAUUAUCUUUCCAUCCAUAGGUCGUGGGUUCCCAGGUGACGUCGGUACAAGGAGAUAUGAACGUUUUAAGGCAGAAAGGUCAGUGGGCUAGGCCCAAUCCGAGCCCAACCGGGUUAGGCCCAUUACCCAUGUCCUUAUAAGUGCCAAUUUCGGCCUUCUUCAUCAUUUUAACACCAGGAACAACCAGAAAAUUCUGGAAAAAGAGAGAGGAGCUUUGGAGAGAAAAAAAAAAAACAAUUUUGACCAAAAUCCGAGCCCCGAAUCCCGAAGCCCAUGAAGGGAAAAGUGUUGUACGCUACGUUGUCUUCAAUUUGAGCUAAAAAUCAACCAAAGAGGAGAGUGAUGACGUGGUGGCUGCCUACUUAAGGUUUUGGACGAAACGGGAUUUGAGUUUUGGCAAGCGUAAAGGGCAAGAAAGGUACCGACGACAGGUUUGCUGAUCCGUCCGCUUAGGAUCUUAUUCUCCUAUUUUGGAGCGCUCUCUUAUCCAGAGCCCAUCUUUUGGUAUAGUCUGUCACUACUGUAUAUAUAUAUUCUCGUUCAUGGGUACAGCGGGGCCCUGUCCCGUCAUAUGAUUAUGUCGGUCUGUUUAGAGGUCUGUGGACAUGUUUGUGGGUUAGGGUCUUUCUGUAUGGAUGUAUGUACAUGUCGUUUGGGCGAUCCCAUACGCCGAGGCGGCCGGUCCGCGUAUGUUUAUAUAUUGCUUGGUUAGCCCUGUGUGGCUUUUGUUGGUAUUUUCUGCGUGCAGGGUAUAUUGGAUAGUCCGUAAAACAAAGGAAACUCUGUCGAAAUUUUUCUGGAAAUUACCUAAAUUUGAAAUAAAGCCUUGUCGGCUUCCGCCAUAUACUAGAAUGAGUUGAUAGAAUUUGAGAUAAUAUUUGAUAGAUGGGUUCGGGUGCCCAGAUCGGGCACUAGUCACGGCCGACGGGGUUGGGUCGUGACAUUUUCCUAGUUAAGUUUUCUGCCUAUUUAAUUCUGUAUGAGUAUGAGUUAAUGGGCUCGAUUUCAUAUUUGUUAGUGUCGUUCUGAUCUUUGUAGGAAUUCAACAUGAUUAAGUUUACAGGUUUAGAUGUCUAGCUUCACUUAAAAUUUGAGUGAAAAGCAUGAGUUUAUUUUCCUUUGCUGUUUAUUUUUUUCAGUAUGCUCAACUCGGCAGAAAAUGUUUGUUUGGUUAAAUACCAGCUUUGUAAUUGUUAAUGAAAUCUUCAUGCAUUCCUCGAUAAGUUUAUGUUAUGAGAUUGAGCUUAUGUUUAAGUUUAGAUUAGUAUGAGAUUGGGUAUUGCCUAAUGUUUCAGCCCGUUUUACUUCUUCCUUAGAGCAUUUUAGUUCCAAAAUAUGAAAUUAUAUAUUACAAUGAGUGACCUUCUUUGUUCUCCAAGCAUGUUAGAGUUGUACAAAUGUUAAUUGCUAUAUAGAUCUUGGGUUAUAUUUUAUAUGUUUUAACCUCACCCGUUGAUUAUAUACUAAUCCUUUUCUUUCGUUUUUAUGCAUGACUAUCGCAUGUGAGUCCGAGGGACUCAUUUUUUCCACGUUUGGCGUUGGGCUAAAAGCCCAACGUGACCUCCUUCCUGUCCAGCCCCUGCCCGCAGCCGAAAAAAAAAAUAGAAAACAAAAUAUCUGGGCCAAAGCCCAAUAGACAGGAACAGUAUUCAGCAACAACAUAUGAAAACGAUUCUGGGCCGAAGCCCAAUAGCAAACAGAGUGCAGCAGUUUCCAGAAAAUGGGUUGAACCCAUUUAAUCAUCUUUACUCCUUUAUUUGCACCUUUGACUUGUAUUAUUUGACUAACAUUUUUUUUCUUAUUUUGUUUUUCCUUAGCUAGAAUGAACCUUAGUGACAUUAAGGGAUUUAGUUUAGUAAUGAGUAGUUAAUUCCAUAAA